GGUUUCCGUAGGUGAACCUGCGGAAGGAUCAUUACCGAGUGAGGGCCCUCUGGGUCCACCUCCCACCCGCGUUCUAUCGUACCUUGUUGCUUCGGCGGGCCCGCCGUUUCGACGGCCGCCGGGGAGGCCUUGCGCCCCCGGGCCCGCGCCCGCCGAAGACCCCAACAUGAACGCUGUUCUGAAAGUAUGCAGUCUGAGUUGAUUAUCGUAAUCAGUUAAAACUUUCAACAACGGAUCUCUUGGUUCCGGCAUCGAUGAAGAACGCAGCGAAAUGCGAUAAGUAAUGUGAAUUGCAGAAUUCAGUGAAUCAUCGAGUCUUUGAACGCACAUUGCGCCCCCUGGUAUUCCGGGGGGCAUGCCUGUCCGAGCGUCAUUGCUGCCCUCAAGCACGGCUUGUGUGUUGGGCCCCCGUCCCCCUCUCCCGGGGGACGGGCCCGAAAGGCAGCGGCGGCACCGCGUCCGGUCCUCGAGCGUAUGGGGCUUUGUCACCUGCUCUGUAGGCCCGGCCGGCGCCAGCCGACACCCAACUUUAUUUUUCUAAGGUUGACCUCGGAUCAGGUAGGGAUACCCGCUGAACUUAAGCAU
rnacentral:rRNA from 1 species